GAAAUCUGGCAGUCUUCGAUUGUCCGAGUUGUAAUCUAUAGAAGCGUUUUCCGUGCUGAACUGUGUAUAAGUCCCUUGGAACAGGGUAUCAAAGAGGGUGACAAUCCCGUACUUUACACAAUCAUCAGUGCUCUGUGAUACGUUCUCUACGAGUCGAGUUGUUUGGGAAUGCAGCUCAAAAUGGGUGGUAAAUUCCAUCUAAAGCUAAAUAUUGGCGAGAGACCGAUAGCGAACAAGUACCGUGAGGGAAAGAUGAAAAGCACUUUGGAAAGAGAGUUAAACAGUACGUGAAAUUGUUGAAAGGGAAACGAAAUUCAUGAAUCAUGUUUAUUGGACUCAGCCGUUCUUCGGUGUACUUCCUUUAAACGGGUCAACAUCAGUUUUGUCCGAUGGAUAAAGGUAGUAGGAAGGUGGCUCUCUCGGGAGUGUUAUAGCCUAUUGCUGCAUACAUUGGAUGAGACUGAGGACUGCAGCUUGCCUUUAUGGCCGGGGUUCGCCCACGUUCAAGCUUAGGAUGUUGACAUAUUCUCGAAUCACGA
rnacentral:rRNA from 1 species